AUCCUGUGUGGAUUCAUCAUAUUUCGUUUUGGCACAAAUCGACCCACUUCCGAAACACUAAUAUCCUACGGAAAGUGCAGUUCUGACUCAGACCCACACUCUUCGACUUCUCCUUUUCGUGUUCAUGAUCUCUGUUACUGCGAUCCAUAUCCUAUCAAUCAAUAUGUUCUUCACUCCCUUCGAUUCUUUUCAACUCCCUUUUUUUCUUUUUUUUCCAUUAAUUUCAACCCAAAAAAAGGGAUCUGAAACAGUACAAUCGUCUGGUGUACCGGAGAAACGUCGGCUCUAAGUUACAAGGCUUCAACCUCACUCACAAACAAACAAUCUAAUAGCACGCCGACCACCGCUGCUACAUUCUCCGUUGUCGGCUUACAUCUCCUUAAAUCAUACGUUCUACCCACUACACCUCCCACUCUCUCGCAUCUGAACGGACUCAUCAUCAUCCGUUUAUAGAUUCUCCUUGCUUGCGAUGAAUACCCUGUUAGGAAAUCUCAAAGGUCAAAUUCCGUCUAUAGAUCUCUCUCUCACGCUCAACACCGUCGCAGUGAGUUGUGAAGGCGAAAGAACAAGUUGUAGAAGGGAAGAUGCGUCAUCUAAUCCUGGAGAUAUUGAGUCUGUGAAGAAGAAGCUAUACGUAGCAAAAGUGUGGGUGCAGAACUUCAAAAAGUUCAAGAGUUCAAUCAUGCCGAUGAGCAUGGAUCCGUAUGGAGGGGAGUUCCAAGGGACGGUUGGAAGGAGUUCCAAGGGACGAUUUUCCAAAUCUUUUGGAAAACCAUGUACCAAAAGCAACAAAUGGAUUGGGAUUCAAACUGAUAACAGAUAGUGUUAUAUUUCAUGGUAAAAAUUCUCCAAGAAGCUAUAGCAAGGGGUAUCUUCCUUCUCAUGCAUCUCAUGUGAUAAUUCCAACUCUGUCGGUGUCGUCAGGUUUAUGCUGAUCAAAGAGAGAGAUUGGCAAUGUUCAUGGAGUGGCUUGAUCAGUUCUAGAGAUUUAAUCAGAGAGAGUAGAAAAACCAUGAUGGAGACGAAAAACCAUGAUUUGAGCGAUAUAAAAUUUAGCGCUGUUGUAGAGAAGCAUUGGAUUAGCCAUUAGACUUGAUUAAUAUGUUUAGUCUAGAUUUUAUUUUCUUUUUUAGUUACUUAAAAAAAAUUCUUUGUUUUUCAGGUGCAUUUCCAGCAGUACUAGAAGUAACAUAGAGAAAGAUAUUAUAUUCUCAGACCAUGCACGUGUGAAACGUUCAAUCCGCAAAAAAAGACGCACAUCAUCGAUCGACACUUGUGAACUGGCACCGAUCGAUACUUCUCAACUAGAAUCGAUCAAGACCAACCUACGAGUAGAUAUGGUUGUGACUCUUGUGCUGAUAAACAUGCUUCAGGUUUAAAAGUGGGACAUGCAUGACCCUGAAAGUCAUAUGCAUAAUGCAGCAAGUCAGAAGAUUGAUGGAGACAAAUUUGAGUGCCUUGCUUAUACCCAUAAUCAGAAGAGAAUGGAGAUAAAUUUGUUAGCCAAAGUCGAAAGUGUGUGUUUGUUGGCUAUCCUUAUGAAAAGAAAGAUUGGUCUCUAUUUGGUUGCCUCUCUCGUAUCUGUCUACUCGGUUCUAGAACAUUCCAUUGAUUUUUAGAAAUUAAUUUGUUCAGCGAAA